rnacentral:rRNA from 1 species
CAGUAGCCGCGGUAAUACAGAAGAUGCAAGCGUUAUCCGGAAUGAUUGGGCGUAAAGCGUCUGUAGGUGGCUUUUCGAGUCCACCGUCAAAUCCCAGGGCUCAACCCUGGACAGGCGGUGGAAACUACCAAGCUAGAGUACGGUAGGGGCAGAGGGAAUUUCCGGUGGAGCAGUGAAAUGCAUUGAGAUCGGAAAGAACACCAACGGCGAAAGCACUCUGCUGGGCCGACACUGACACUGAGAGACGAAAGCUAGGGGAGCAAAUGGGAUUAGAUACCCCCGUAGUCCCUGUCUCUUAUAC